rnacentral:rRNA from 1 species
UACGUAGGGUGCCGGCGUUAAUCGGAAUUACUGGGCGUAAAGCGUGCGCAGGUUGUUUUGCACGUCCGGUGUGAAAUCCCCGGGCUUAACCUGGGAAUUGCGCUUGAAACUAGCGGGCUUGAGUGUGGCAGAGGGGGGUGGAAUUCCACGUGUAGCAGUGAAAUGCGUAGAGAUUGGAAAGAACACCGAUGGCGAAGGCACUUUACUGGGCUAUUACUAACACUCAGAGACGAAAGCUAGGGUAGCAAAUGGG